rnacentral:rRNA from 1 species
UACGUAGGGUGCGAGCGUUGUCCGGAAUUACUGGGCGUAAAGAGUUCGUAGGCGGUUUGUCGCGUCGUUCGUGAAAACUUGGGGCUUAACUCCAAGCGUGCGGGCGAUACGGGCAGACUUGAGUACUACAGGGGGGACUGGAAUUCCUGGUGUAGCGGUGAAAUGCGCAGAUAUCAGGAAGAACACCGAUGGCGAAGGCAGGUCUCUGGGCAUUAACUGACGCUGAGGAGCGAAAGCAUGGGGAGCGAACAGG